GAGAAAACUGUAUACACCACUGCCUGCUCUGCAUCGCCUUACUUAGGUUCCUAUCUUCAGGUGCACCAAAGGACAUCGUCCCAUGGACAGAAAAAAAAGAAAGAAAAAUUCAACUGCUGAUUUGCUCAGCUGUUAAAUGUGGAAUUGGAUAGGAUAGUACCUUGCUCUUCAUUUCAUGAACCAAAAUGUUUUGACCCAGAAGAAUAUGUUGAAGGCAUGGCCCAGGCACAUAAUAUCAUGAGAUAAUAUAAAACAAAAUGUUGCUGUUCAUGAGAAACUUUGGAAUAACACUAUUGUGGUCGGGGCUCUAAGGAGGUGUUAAGUCAUCAAUGAAUAAAGAAGUAAUUGGCUCCUAUUGUCAGGGAUGAUGGACUACAAUUUUCAUAAUGUUCUUUCUGGUUGAAUGAAAAAAGAAAACUAUGUUUGCUUCCUAAAUGUUCUAUCCAGUAUUGGAAGAAUAGUUGCCCUCUUGAGUACUUGGCACUGAAACUAAAUAUACUGGAUUCUUGAGGCACCCCAAGUCCUUAUUUGAGUAUGACUAAGAGCCAAUGCCAUAACACUGAGACAUGUACAAGGAACUUCACUGAAGCAAGAACUCCCACUUUCA